rnacentral:tRNA from 1 species
UAUGGUGUAGCUCAGUGUUAGAAUGUGUGCUUAGUGUGCUCUCAGUCCUGAGUUCCAUCCCCAGCACCAAAA